CUCAACUGGGAGAGGUCGUCUAAUACUACCGUGCUUGAGAGCAGAAGAGGAAGAUGGAAUUCCUGGUGUAGUGGUGAAAUGCGUAGAUAUCGGGAGGAACACCAGUGGCGAAGGCGAUCUUCUGGUCUGUUUCUGACACUCAGACGCGACAGCUAGGGUAGUAAACGGGAUUAGAGACCCCGGUAAUCCUAGCCGCAAACGAUGUGAACUUGGCGUUGGUGGGUUAAACUCCAUCAGUGCCGUAGCAAACGCGCUAAGUUCACCGCCUGGGGACUACGGCCGCAAGGUUAAAACUCAAAGGAAUUGACGGGGGCCCGCACAAGCAGCGGAGCGUGUGGUUUAAUUCGAUGCUACACGAAGAACCUUACCCAGGCUUGACAUACAGGUGGUAGGGAUCCGAAAGGUGACCGACCCGCAAGGGAGCC
rnacentral:rRNA from 1 species